GACGAACGCUGGCGGCACGCUUAAUACAUGCAAGUCGAGCGAGAACCGGAGCUUCGGCUCCGGGGACAGCGGCGAACGGGUGAGUAACACGUGGGUAACCUGCCCUCGGCACCGGGAUAGCCCGGGGAAACCCGGAUUAAUACCGGAUGGCCCUUUCGGUCUUCGGACCGAUAGGCAAAGGUAGCUUCGGCCUCCGGCCGAGGAUGGGCCCGCGGCGGAUUAGCUUGUUGGUGAGGUAACGGCUCACCAAGGCUCCGAUCCGUAGCUGGUCUGAGAGGACGAUCAGCCACACUGGGACUGAGACACGGCCCAGACUCCUACGGGAGGCAGCAGUAGGGAAUCUUGCGCAAUGGGCGAAAGCCUGACGCAGCGACACCGCGUGCGGGAAGACGGCCUUCGGGUUGUAAACCGCUUUCAGGAGGGACGAAGCCACUCGGGUGAAUAGCCCAGAGGGUGACGGUACCUCCAGAAGAAGCCCCGGCUAACUACGUGCCAGCCGCCGCAGUAAGAC
rnacentral:rRNA from 1 species